rnacentral:rRNA from 1 species
GACGAACGCUGGCGGCGUGCUUAACACAUGCAAGUCGAACGGAAAGGCCUGCUUUCCCCUGUGGAUUGCGGGUACUCGCGUGGCGAACGGGUGAGUAACACGUGAGUGAUCUGCCCCCAACUUGAGUAUAAGCCUGGGAAACUGGGUCUAAUUCCCGAUAGUACUGCAGGGUGGUGCCUGUGGUGGAACACGAUUUUCUAGUGGUUGGGGAUGAGCUCGCGGCCUAUCAGCUUGUUGGUGGGGUAAUGGCCUACCAAGGCGGCGACGGGUAGCCGGCCUGGGAGGGUGGACGGCCACAUUGGGACUGAGAUACGGCCCAGACUCCUACGGGAGGCGGCAGUGGGGAAUAUUGGACAAGGGGCGGAAGCCUGAUGCAGCGACGCCGCGUGGGGGAUGACGGCCUUCGGGUUGUAAACUCCUUUCGACCGGGAGGAAGCCACCUGGUUGGAAGGGUGGUGACGGUAGUGGUAGAAGAAGCACCGGCUAACUACGUG